rnacentral:lncRNA from 1 species
GUUGAUAUUUUUCUUUUUCCUUGUUUAUUUAUGUUUUUCCCUAUUUUCUCCUAUUUAUAUUCUUUUAUGAGAAAAGAAAAAACUCAAACGUCGCGUUCUUCUCUUCAAUCCUUUUUGUAACUGAAAUUGCUUGCAACGCCUUUGCUAUUCAACUCUCUCGCUCCUGUCGCAGAUGCCUUUCGCCCUUCUAUACAACGCCCUUUCAGAGCCUUCUCCUCUAUUCUAAAUUACCACGAAUAGUUGAUUUUUUUUUUUAUUAGUUGAAGAUUUCAGCCUCAUAGGGCGAAUCGUUUGCGGCAGGAUAAUGGAAGAUUUGGUUAUCAAAAUUCAAAGGCGGAUUAGGGUGAUUUCAGAUUGAAUACAUUCCUACGACCUACGACAACAGGUAAAUGUUUACCGUCCUUCUGUUCUUCAUUUCUUGUAUUUAUUUUGAGUUUCAAUUUCCUAUUUUGUCUUCGACUCUUUGAUAGAAAUUAGUCAAUGUAUGUAAAACAUCAACAGCUUACUUCAAUUGGGUUCGGAAAGAUGGUGCGGUGGAAGAUCCAAUCUUACUUCUGAUGUCUAUAUGCCCAGGUGAGUAUAAAAUUAUAAAUUAUGGAUGCCAAUUAUAGAGUUUGAUCUAUUUCCUGUAAGGUGUUUUAAGUUGAUUUUGAUAGUAGUAGUAGUAGUAGGGACAUAUCUGGGACUAAGGAGGAGCAAAAUCAAAGUCAAUGAGUUCCCACAAGUGGGGUCUAGGAGGACUAAAGAGAAGGAAAUGAGAAAUUUAUUCGAUUGAUGCAGUAAAGUGCUUCGGCAUUGGGCUUUACUUUUCUUUUUGUGCAAUUCUUUUUUCUGCCUUUAACUAGAAGCUCCAGUUCAUUUCGGUAGUUUGUAUCUUAUCAAUGUGCAUUCAUUUGAGGCUUUGCUUGGAACUAUGAAUAUGAAAUUUGCACACGGUGGUGUAGUCUUAAUCUUGACUCCCUGUGCUGUGAGUAGAAGAAAUAGUUUACAUAAAAUUUUAUAAAUUGGUGAGAGAAGAAGAGAAUGAUAUUUAAGAAAAUUAUAUAAGGCAUGAGAAAGGCUAAGAGUGUAAUAUUCAAGAAAGCUAUAGAAGGCAUGAGAAAGGCUUUCACUUUGACGCGCAAAUAAAUAAUGAGUUUAUAUGGAAAAAGAAAGGUAUCACGGGUUCUUUAUGUUUAUCAAGCUUCAAAUGCUAGAUCUUUAAUAACCAUAAAUACACAUCUUGAUCUUUCAUACUGCUUUCAUACUAUUGAUGCAGCAUUAUCAAAGAUAAAGCUAUAUUCCGUAUAUGCAUAAAUAUCUUUUGCCCAAGAGCAUACUGAAAAAAGAAAAUGUGAUUGACAAAUUCAAAUUUUCUUUCUAUUAUUUUACAAGUUCUCAGUAUAAUGAGUGGUCCAUCAGUUUUAACUGUCUUUGGACUUUAGUGGAGUAAUGUUAUAUUUUUUUGACUCUUUUUUGUGUAGAACAGUUGAACAAAAGCUUUUACAGAAAACAGAACAUAAGUUAUUAGCUUCUCUUCUUUCGCACAUGUCUUUUCAUUAAAUCAAUACUGUUAAAGUGAUUUUGUUGGCUUUUGUUAUGUAUCCUUCUGCCGGCUAUAUGAUUGAUGUGUUCUCAAUUUAUAUAAUACUCCUUAAAUGAUAUGACUAUUAAUGACUUAAAAUAUUGAUAUCUUACUUUACUUUUAUGUUCUAAACUAUUGAUGCUUGAUUAUAGAUCAUCAUAUCAUUGCAACAACUUGUCUUGCUCUUGCUCCCUUCUGAAGUUGCUGAUUUAUCCUUCAGGUAUCUAUUGGAGAUAUGAUUGCUUGUGACAAUAAAAAUAUAAGUUUUCUUUGUUCAAUGCUUAUUGUUUGUAUCCUUUACUUAAUUGUUAUAUUUUACUUUUCUUCUGUAUACUCCUAUGUAAUUAGAGAUUAUUAUGAACCUGAUUACUAUUUGCUAGAAGACAAAGCAAGUCAAUAUAUUUUUAAUGCCUCUUGACUUAUUUUCAAAUAUAACGAGCAUGACUAUUAGCUCAGGACAAGUACUAAAUACUAUUGAUGAAGAGAUAUAAAGGCAAGCAGAGCAAAUGGAAAAAAGAGAAGAUUGAUUAAUAUAAAAAAGAAAUUAUUUGGUUGCAUGUCAAGUAAGAUAAACCUUACAUGUUGAAAUAUAUUUAUGUUUUGGAUAAUACACAUUCCUCCAUGGACUGCUUUUAGGUCUGCAUCAUAUCAUGUUCAUAAAUUUAACGCUGGUGGUGCUAAAUGCUAUUCAUGUUCAUAAUAUCGGAUGUUUCACUUCUUACUAAAAUAAUUACAUUUGCACUAUUGCAUCUGAAUUUGUGUUUUAACGUGUUUUAAAUGUGCAUUUUGAUCUAUUCUAUGACAUAGUACUUUUUGAUAGAUAAAGUAAGUUGUGAGGAGCUAGGAGCACAGGGAUAUGAAUUGAAUACCGUCUACCCAACUGAUGCGUUGAUGAUUCUAUACUUCUACAAAAGUUGGCUUGGGACCUGAAAUAUAUGAACCUUUCAGAUUUCUUGAAGAAACAUAUUUGCUAUUCUAGGAGCAUUAAUCUGCACAUUUUCAGUUGAUCUGUACUUUGAUACAGUAAAUUAUGAUACUUAUUAGAUGAAAAUUAUGGGUUUAUAUCUUAUAGUUUUCAAUAAUAGGGUGAGUUGCAUUACUUGUUGGAUGCCACUGCUUCAUUAGGGGUUGUAAGAUUGAAAUAUGAAGCCUGACCUACUGGAUUACUUACAGCUUAAGUGCUCUUGAAUUGAGAUCACAGGUUGCUUUGUCAUUUUAGGAGUACAUUGCCAAAUACUGUUCUCUGAUUCCUAAACUAUUCAUUUAUAUUGCAGAAGAAUCUAAAAUGUCUUAGGAAUAUAUAAAACAUCUACAUACAAUAUGUACAUAUUCUUUAACUGUUAUUUAUUAUUUUAAUAUUC